UUAAAAAAUACUAUUUUAUAAAGAAUGUUAUGUUAUAAAAAAAUUUUUAAUGCUCUUUCUAUAUGUUAUAUAAAUGAAUUGAAUUAAAAUAUUUACAUCUUUGUCUAGCAGCAGUUUCUUAUGUGGACUUCUCUAUAUUUAUAUAAUGGAAAGUAAACAAGUAUAUUUAAAAAUUACUAAAUACAGCAACUGAAUAUCGAUAGAGAUACAUGAAAAAUUCAGAAAAUGUAGAAAAAUAUUUGAUAACGUAUCGAUGUCAAUCUUAACGUUAUCAUUGAGACAAGACAGUCAAUAUGUUAUCCAUUCUACUAUUCAAUAAUUAGCUCAUGUAAUUGUUCUGCUACUACAUCAUUACAAUUAUUACUGCAUAACAUGUUGCUCCGGUAUGUGCUGUCAGUGGAUAUUCUUUGAUCAAUUUUAAUGAUUAAUGUGAAACAUAUGUUCCUUAAUUAAUAUGCAAAAAUAGUAUGAUUUAUCGAAAGAGACACCUUAUUAACAUUGUAUUUGUAAGAAAACGAAUGUUACUUCUAGAUAUUGAGUAUUAUUUAAGUAAAUUACAAGAUCCACUUUUAUAUAUAUAAUAAGCGCUUAAUAUUAUGUGUGAUGAGAAUUUUCUUGUUUAGUCUUUUUAGUAAAACGAUUUAAAUUGAAUGUAAUUAUUUUUAGUACAAAUUUUCCAAUAUUGAAAGAAUAAUUAGAGUUCCAGAAAUUUAGCUUUUUUAUAAUUUAUAACAAAUUUAUUCUAUAUAAUUUUAAAAUAAUGUUAACUAAUAAUAUUAAUUAAACUGCAAUAGUGAUAACAAACAAUUUCUUUCUAAUAAAAUGUAGUUUGGGAUCAAUUCUACGAAAUACUGAUACGUUUCUUUUUUUAAAGGUAUAUAGUUAUUAGCGCUUAUUUGAUCAUGUGAGUUGAUCGAUAAGUGUAAGACACGUGAUUAAUAAUCUUAAUAUUUCUUCCCGACAAACUGUUUUACACAUUAAUUGUUAGUUAAUUACCGCACGUGUGUUAGUAUCGGCAUAUUUUAACCGCAGCCGUGACCGACACGACGUGUGCAGUAAAUGGAAGAUAAUAACAGUUGUUAAGUAGCCGUUAACAGUCAUAAAAUUAUUCGAGUUAAAAUGCCGUCGUAAAACGUCAUUCAACUAAUCAUUUCUGCUUACAUUCUGCGUCAUUAUGUUUUAAAGUUACAGGUUUUGCGUGAGAGAUUCACAUUUAUUACUGAAUUGCAAUGAAACAACGUUUGUGUUACUAAACAAAGCUUUUCAUCUGAAGAGUAAAGCCUUUGUAUACCGUCCCGAGCUUGUGCACUUAUGCAAAUUUUUAUACCAUGCGCUUGCACCGGCAACGGCAAGUUAUGCGACCGGACAAGUGGUGUGAAAUUGAGAGACACGCGCGGCGUUGUUUCACGCCGUAAAUUAUCCAUGUGAAUGCAAAAAUCGAUCGAGCUAUUAACAAUCCACGUGGAUCGCUAAUGUGAUCCGACAAAGGCUGACAGGAUAUAUGGUGUUCAUCAGCGGGGACCGAACGUAUUGUGCAACCAGCAUUGUCAAGGGAAGGGUUUUUGUGGCUCGACGUGGUGCGAAGGGUCUAGAGCACCGAACAGCGAGACGCAACCACGAUGACGACGAAACACCUAGAUCAUCGGGAAGACUUCUGAUGGAUCGGAGAUAUCGGGCUCUGCGGUGAUAACAUCGCCCUCGUGAGAGCUCGUCACAGUCGAUACGACGACGAUCGCCGCUUAAGAAGCCGUAAAAGCCGCUCUUCGCGGGGAAGAGUCUAGUGCGCUUGUGGCGAGCGAGCCAGAAAGCUCACUCGUUUAGCUUCAUCAUCACUGGAGACCAUGUCGAGAAUGCGCGUCCGCGGCGUGUCCGCCGCUUCAACGGGAACUUCCUGACCAUUUGACGAGUUAAAUCUUCCUUGGGAAUUUGCUCCUUGUCCGGUCCGUCGGAUUUCAGCAUCUCACUGGUAGUGUCCGAGAAUGUCCAAGAAGCAAUGGCUCGUCCUACUGUUGUUGUUCCUCACGUAUCUGACGCUGGGCGCUAUUAUUUUCUAUCACAUCGAGAGCCACUAUGAGAACGAGAAGAUCAUAAGAGAAAGAGAUGAACGCAUUACGAUUAACAGUAAGAAAAUAAUUACGGCAAUAAUCACUGGUAUCGGUUAUCUCGCGCGAGAAUCGCGCGAUCCUUGAUCCAUUUUUAAUCUGGUAAUGAAAAUCCGUAUUAUUCGGAUACUUGAUGUAAUUGUCAUUCUGAUACUUAACAAGCAAAUAUGAUUCAGUGUUGUGAAUUAACCGAGAUUUAUCUACUAAAUUUAUUAUUUUUAUUUUUUGUUAAUCAAGGGAUAUUCUAAUACAUCGUGAUUAAAAGUGAAGGAUGUCUCGAGAAUUAUGUGAAUAAUAAUAUAAAUUUUUAUUCUUUAUUUAAAUUUAAUAGGCUUUAAUAGAUUGAUUAUUGAUCAUUCAAGAUUUUCCAAAGAUAUAUGAGUAUUAAUUUUCAAACCAGCGACAAAAAUGCUACCUUUUCACUAAGAAAAAAUCUAGAUUCUCGAAUAUCAUUUUGCAUACCUUACUCAUAUUUAUUAAUUUCUGUUCGUGAUUGAUAUAAAAAAAAUCUGAUAUAAAAAUAGCAAAACAUAGCAAAAAAUAGUAGUGUAGCUCUUGAUUUCUAUAAGUUGUUUUAAUUGAUGAUCUUCGUCGGAGCAUCAAGGAAAAAGCUGCAUGCGAAUGGAAUAGCGAAAACGUGUACAGAAUUGUAUAUCAUUUGCAAUUCGUAGUUGCAAUGUGACAUUGGGCUAUCUGCAUAUCUCUGUUUGCUACAAGCACAAUUCGAAAAAAACUCGAAAAAAGUCCUUGAGAUUUAGUUUAUAAAUUAACUCUGAUAUAAAAAAAAGAAAUUAGUAACAAUUGUAGCUUUUUGCUGUUGCAAUUAAAUAAUAAAUGAUAUAGCUUCACUGAUAUUGGACGCAUUUUAGUUUAGCCAUUUAAAAGCAUAAGUAAUAGUAAUGAGAAUGUCAUUAUAUUGAUCCCAAUUUAUAUCUUCAAUAUUAAAUGACGUUUUUUAUUUCGAUAAGUGCGAAGAGGCAUCUUCAGAUUUCGUUAUCGCGUAGAUUAAAAUUUAAUAUUAAUUUUCUUUAAGUCUCUCAAUAUUAAUUAGGGAUACAAAGACAUCACUAUCAUGUCUACGUCCAUCGUUUCACGUGUUUGUAAUUAAUCAGUCGAUUUCUGCGUCAUC